rnacentral:rRNA from 1 species
CAAGGAAUUUUCGGCAAUGGGCGCAAGCCUGACCGAGCAACGCCGCGUGGAGGAUGACGGCCUUCGGGUUGUAAACUCCUUUUGCGGGGGAUGAUGAUGACCGUACCCCGCGAAUCAGGCUCGGCUAACUCUGUGCCAGCAGCCGCGGUAAGACAGAGGAGCCAAGCGUUGUCCGGAUUGACUGGGCGUAAGGCGUACGUAGGUGGCUAAAUAAGUCAGAUGUGAAAUCCUCGAGCUCAACUUGAGAAUU